CUCCGGUUGAUCCUGCCGGACCCGACUGCUAUCAGAGUGGGACUAAGCCAUGCGAGUCGACGUAGCAAUGCGUGGCGAACGGCUCAGUAACACGUAGUCAACAUGCCCAGGGGACGUGGAUAACCUCGGGAAACUGAGAAUAAACCACAAUAGGUCACGAUUUCUGGAAUGGAUCAUGGCCUAAAUCUACAUGGCCCCUGGAUUGGACUGCGGCCGAUCAGGCUGUUGGUGAGGUAAUGGCCCACCAAACCUAUAACCGGUACGGGCUCUGAGAGGAGAAGCCCGGAGAUGGGCACUGAGACAAGGGCCCAGGCCCUAUGGGGCGCAGCAGGCGCGAAACCUCUGCAAUAGGCGAAAGCCUGACAGGGUUACUCUGAGUGAUUUCCGCUAAGGGGAUCUUUUGGCACCUCUAAAAAUGGUGCAGAAUAAGGGGUGGGCAAGUCUGGUGUCAGCCGCCGCGGUAAUACCAGCACCCCGAGUGGUCGGGACGAUUAUUGGGCCUAAAGCAUCCGUAGCCGGUUCUGCAAGUCUUCCGUUAAAUCCAGCCGCUCAACGGAUGGGCCGCGGAGGAUACUACAGGACUAGGAGGCGGGAGAGGCAAGCGGUACUCAGUGGGUAGGGGUAAAAUCCUUUGAUCCGUGGAAGACCACCAGUGGCGAAGGCGGCCCGCCAGAACGCGCUCGACGGUGAGGGAUGAAAGCUGGGGGAGCGAACCGGAUUAGAUACCCGGGUAGUCCCAGCCGUAAACGAUGCGAGCUAGAUGAUCCAAUCGCAAAUCGCGAUUGGAGUGUCGCAGGGAAGCCGUUAAGCUCGCCGCCUGGGGAGUACGGUCGCAAGACUGAAACUUAAAGGAAUUGGCGGGGGAGCA
rnacentral:rRNA from 1 species